AUGCGCUGAUUGGCAUCUUUCUCGAUGUCAUUCCUUCUUCCUGGUCGCCCCCUUUCGCCAUGGAAGCCAGAUUAGAUGGAUGCCGUUAUGCCUCAAAGUAUGAACUGGAGGAGGCCACGAGAAUGAUGCUGGCAACCGCCCUUGUUAUUGACGUGCACUCGGCCGGAUCCAGUAGGUGGGAAGGGUCUAGCCUAUAAUCUGGCUUCAUUGGCCUGCUCCACCAUCGCUAAGCAUUUCUACGAAGUAGUUGUCUACGGCUAGAAGGAGGAGCAUAGGAGGAGGAGGGGAAAAUACAGGAGGGGGCGGAGGAGGAUGGAGCGAGGGAAGAGGAAAGGAUAAGUAUCUCAUUAAUUUAUCUUGCACAAACACCGUCCUGUAGAUUUUCUUAUUCAUAAAAGGUCUAAAGAUAAUAAUAACCCUUUGGAGAUGGUUUAUAGUAGUAUUAGAAUUAAUUUCGACUUCAUCUUUCCUAAUCCAUAUAUCGUAUUUAUUUCUAUCUGUACUACCAUCUCAACUACUUAUAAUAAAAUAUAUGUUUCUUUACUAGU
rnacentral:sRNA from 1 species